rnacentral:rRNA from 1 species
CCUACGGGGGGCAGCAGUGGGGGAUAUUGCACAAUGGGGGAAACCCUGAUGCAGCGACGCCGCGUGGGCGAAGAAGUAUUUCGGUAUGUAAAGCCCUGUCAGCAGGGAAGAAAAUGACGGUACCUGAGUAAGAAGCCCCGGCUAACUACGUGCCAGCAGCCGCGGUAAUACGUAGGGGGCAAGCGUGAUCCGGAUUUGCUGGGUGUAAGGGGGGCGCAGACGGCAGCGCAAGACAGGAGUGAAAGCCCGGGGCCCAACCCCCGGACUGCUCUGGAAACUGUACGGCUGGAGUGCAGGAGAGGUAAGUGGAAUUCCUAGUGUAGCGGUGAAAUGCGUAGAUAUUAGGAGGAACACCAGUGGCGAAGGCGGCUUACUGGACUGUAACUGACGUUGAGGCUCGAAAGCGUGGGGAGCAAACAGGAUUAGAUACCCGGGUAGUC